AGGCAGCGCAAAGAGCUUGUGGGGGGAGGGUGUUCUUGGAUGGGGGUGGGCAACACAAGAAUCUUGAGGUUUCUAGCAAUGGUGACAUGAGGGAUCGGGUGAGAGAGAUGAUGACAGAGAGAGGAUAGAGAAAUGGCAAGGUGGAAGGGUUGUGUACUCGUGGUGAGAGAAUUUGGGGAGUUUUAAUUUUCUAUGGGGCUCGCACACAUGAAUGGGAAAGGAGGAUGUGUUUUCGAAUGGAUCGUGGCUAUCACGUCACGUGCUGGAAGUGUCCGUAGCGCUGGCGCACAGAAUCAGCUUUUGCGGGCUACUGGCAAGUAGCCUCACUUAGAGAUAAGGAAAGUCGAGAUUACAAUGAUUCUAAUCUACCAUAUCUAGAGAUAUCCUAAGAUACUCUAACAAAUUUGAGUGCCUUACCUUCUUAGGCUCUAGGUUGUAAAACUCUUUGUGAGUGGGAAAUUUCCAUUAAAUCCACCAUAGAUGCAUAUCUAGAUCGGAUGAUCUAGUUUAU
rnacentral:lncRNA from 1 species